rnacentral:lncRNA from 1 species
AUGAGACCUAUUAUUACUCUUUCUUUCUUUCCUCCUUCUUCUUUUUCUUUUCUUUCUUUCUUUCUUUUUUUUUUUUUUUUAAACAAGUUUCCUUCUAAGGGAAAUAAACACCAAAGUGAUCCUCCGACUGUGAAAAACCAAACCUCUUGCUGCCUGGCUCCCUAGGAAUCAAGGAGAGACACAGACUGAAAAUCAGGGAGGAGAGGAAUAAGAUCAAGGAUGAGGAUUAGCAUCUGCAAAUUGAACUCUAUCUAAUUUGCAUGUUUAUUUCUUAGAAUUGUAAUUAAAUUUGUGUAAUAAAUGUUUUCCAUUUCAUUUGUACACUUAAAAUUUGGGUGACUGACGUGCAGUUAAGUGAAUUUCUUUUCUUUUUUUUAAGCCAAUGUAGUUUAUUCAAUAAAGCGGCAAACAAAUAUUAGACAUAAUUAGAACUAAUCUACUUUGAAGGUAUUUUUGUUGAACUUUGUACACUUAAAGACUCUCAGAGGUUUUAAGGGUAUUAGGAAGCUGAGCAAAGGCAAUUAUGCUGAAAACAGACUAACUCAACAGACUUCCAGGAGAAUUAUUUCAUUUUUUCCAAAAAGACAUUUCAGGGUUGCAUGCCUAAAAUUGGGAGUUGGGCAUCCAUCUUGGCUUUAUUCUGAACCAUAUUAAAACCAUAUUAAAUUGCAUUGGCUCAUGGACGAUAUAGGCCAUUACGAUAAUAACUUGAGAACUGUGAAGAUGCCAUUUUGUGCAAUCAGUGGGUGUUGCAUGCCCCGGCUUAUGGGCAAAGCAUCACUUUCACUUGUUGGGAGGGUGGGGGGAAGAGGAGGGUAAGAAAGAGGAGGGCAAGGAAAAGCAAAGCACAUAAGAUGCAAGUACUUGAAAGUCUAAAUCGGGACCUAAAACUGGUUAGUGUCUAACUCAAAUGAAGAACUAAAUGUGAGGGCUUGGAGGCAUGGCUUAUUAUUGUUUUUAUCUCCCCAUAUUAAAGUUUUAUAGCAUUUAAAGGACUAUGGGGAAAUCCCCACAUACACUUGGCUGUGUCAAAAUACAUAAAACCAAAAGGAGCAAAUUAAGCAUAAAAUUGAGAAAUAACAUGAGACCAAGUAUCAGCAUGGGUUGCUUUGGCAUCUUUUGGAGCUUUGGCUCUGAGAAAUGAGCCUUCUGGGAAAUUGGCAUUGCCCUUGGGUGGGGAGGACUCUUGGCUUUAACGUUACAACAAAAUGACAUCACGACACAAGUAUGAAAUCAUUGCACUUCACAGCACCCUUGUGGUUUUGGGUAGGAACUUGACCCUGUCCCGUUCAGAUAAGUUAGGUCAGCAUGUUUUACUAACUAACAUCUUUCCCUGCCCUACUUUUUAAUCUCAAGCUUGAGAGAUUCAGCGCCCAACUGUUGACAACAUGAACUAAUGUCUACAAGCAGAAGAGUUAGUCAAACCUCCAUGGAACGAGAAAUAUCAUUUCAAAGUUUA